rnacentral:lncRNA from 1 species
AAAAGGGGGAGGGAAAUGUAAUUCAUGCUUCUCUUAGAGGAGGGGGGUGAAAUAUUUUCUAAUAUAUUUUGAAUAAGAGGGGAGGGGAGGGGAGUGUAUAUUUUAACUUAAAAUGAAAGGGGAUUGUAAUUUAAGCAUCUUUGAGAGGAGAGGAGUGUAAUUUACUCAACAAUUUUUAGCUUUAUUUUCAAAGCUUUUAAUUGCAUUUAUAAUUUUUUUUUAGGGAUUGUAUUUAUAAUUUUAUAGUUAGCUUAUACUGCC